GAUGAACGCUGGCGGCGUGCUUAACACAUGCAAGUCGAACGGAAAGGCCCAAGCUUGCUUGGGUACUCGAGUGGCGAACGGGUGAGUAACACGUGGGUGAUCUGCCCUGCACUUCGGGAUAAGCCUGGGAAACUGGGUCUAAUACCGGAUAGGACGAUGGUUUGGAUGCCAUUGUGGAAAGUUUUUUCGGUGUGGGAUGAGCUCGCGGCCUAUCAGCUUGUUGGUGGGGUAAUGGCCUACCAAGGCGUCGACGGGUAGCUGGCCUGAGAGGGUGUACGGCCACAUUGGGACUGAGAUACGGCCCAGACUCCUACGGGAGGCAGCAGUGGGGAAUAUUGCACAAUGGGCGCAAGCCUGAUGCAGCGACGCCGUGUGGGGGAUGACGGCCUUCGGGUUGUAAACUCCUUUCGCUAGGGACGAAGCGUUUUUGUGACGGUACCUGGAGAAGAAGCACCGGCUAACUACGUG
rnacentral:rRNA from 1 species